GUGUCAGCCGCCGCGGUAAUACAGAGACUGCAAGCGUUAUUCGGAUUCACUGGGCGUAAAGGGUGCGCAGGCGGCCGUGUGUGUCAGGUGUGAAAGCCCGGGGCUUAACCCCGGAAUUGCGCCUGAAACUACAUGGCUAGAGCAUUGGAGAGGGUAGCGGAAUUCACGGUGUAGCAGUGAAAUGCGCAGAUAUCGUGAGGAACACCAGAGGCGAAGGCGGCUACCUGGACAAUUGCUGACGCUCAGGCACGAAAGCGUGGGGAGCAAAAGGGAUUAGAUACCCCCGUAGUCC
rnacentral:rRNA from 1 species